rnacentral:rRNA from 1 species
GACGGAAGGUGCAUGCGUUGCUCGGAAUCACUGGGCGUAAAGCGUGCGCAGGCGGUUUCUUAAGUCAGAUGUGAAAGCCCCGGGCUUAACCUGGGAACUGCGUUUGAAACUGGGAGACUUGAGUGUGGCAGAGGGGGGUGGAAUUCCACGUGUAGCAGUGAAAUGCGUAGAUAUGUGGAGGAACACCGAUGGCGAAGGCAGCCCCCUGGGUUAACACUGACGCUCAUGCACGAAAGCGUGGGGAGCAAACAGG